rnacentral:tRNA from 1 species
GGAGGGGUAGCGAAGUCUGGCUAAACGCGGGUGACUGUAGAUCAUUUCCCUUUGGGUUCGGGGGUUCGAAUCCCUCCCCCUCCACCA